rnacentral:rRNA from 1 species
CCUACGGGUGGCAGCAGUGGGGAAUAUUGCACAAUGGGGGAAACCCUGAUGCAGCGACGCCGCGUGAGCGAUGAAGUAUUUCGGUAUGUAAAGCUCUAUCAGCAGGGAAGAAAAUGACGGUACCUGACUAAGAAGCUCCGGCUAACUACGUGCCAGCAGCCGGGGUAAUACGGAGGGUGCGAGCGUUAUCCGGAUUUACUGGGUGUAAAGGGAGCGUAGACGGCGAGGCAAGUCAGUUGUGAAAGCCCGGGGCUCAACCCCGGGAUUGCAUUUGGAACUGUAUGGCUGGAGUGUAGGAGAGGCAGGCGGAAUUCGUGGUGUAGCGGUGAAAUGCGUAGAUAUUAGGAAGAACACCGGUGGCGAAGGCAGCCUGCUGGACGGUGACUGACGUUGAGGCUCGAAAGCGUGGGGAGCAAACAGGAUUAGAUACCCGAGUAGUC